AUGUUGGCUUAGAAGCAGCCACUCAUUUAAAGAGUGCGUAAUAGCUCACUGGUCGAGUGACUCUGCGCCGAAAAUGUAACGGGGCUAAACAUGACACCGAAGCUUGGGAUACCGUAAGGUAUGGUAGGGGAGCGUUGUGUACGGGGUGAAACAUGAGCGGAAGCGCGUGUGGACUGUACAGAAGUGAGAAUGCCGGAAUGAGUAGCGCGAUUUAUGUGAGAAUCAUAAAG
rnacentral:rRNA from 1 species